rnacentral:lncRNA from 1 species
AAAGCCAAAAAUGAUAUAAAACUAACUCACCCCCACCUACCACCCUUCAUACUGGACUGAUCAAAGAGGAGAAAGGGAAAAGAGAUAGAAAGAGAGAGAGAGUUGGCUGGAGCAAGAGAGAGAAAAGAAAGGAGAAAGGAAGAAAGGAAGAAGAAGAGGAAAGGAGAAGGAAAAAGAAAGCAAAAAACUAGAAUUUAAAGCUAAAAGUUAAAUCUCUUAUUAUGUUGUAAACCUAUUUAUAUGUUUAUAGAUGUAUAUAAUUGGUUCAUGUUGCGUUAACUAUGGCCUUUGGUCAUGGUGUAAAGGAUUAUGGAAAUUGCUUUUAUACACAUUUAACACCUAAAACUUAAUGAAAUCAAUGAGGGUUUGUAUCAGAAGUUUGAUUGAUUAAAAACAAGGCAAAGAUAAGGUUAAAGAAAUGUAGAACGAUCGAGGUAAAGCUUUGUCGAAAAAUAUUUGUGGAACGAUAUUUAGACGUGAAACGAUAACGAAUUUCGAAACAAGACACAUGGUUGGACUUCUAGGCUAUAAUAGAGCAGAUUUGGGCAAGAAAAUCCAAGAAAAAUCUCCGAAAAACCUGUUAUUGAAGAUGACUAGAAAUAUUUUCCAGCCAACUUUUCAGUAAGCCUGUUUUUCUAUAUUAGAGGAAAAAAUUCAAGAAACUUUUUAUUACAAUUUUGCAGGGAAUUAAAAUUCAUGUGGAAUGGACAUAAAAUUCAUAAUUUUUAGAUAAGCGAUUUAAUUAUUAUGAAUUUUUGAAGUUUAAACACUUAAAAGAAUUAUAUUUAAAUUAUCGAAAAAUGGUUU